AGCGGAUCAUUACCGACGGUCAUGUGUUCGUCGGUAAGUUUCCAUUACUGAGGGAAUUAUCGAUGGACCCCACUGCUUCAUUUACAGACGACAUAAAUCCUUCUGUAGUGUGCAAUCUCGUAAUUUAUCAUCGGAUCUGAGCCAUCAAUAAUGUGCACGAUGACUUAACUCCAAAUUUUGGGUAUUCCUUCGAUCAAUUACAAUUUCAGCAAACCCUUUCCCUCAAAUUUCUCUCUUCUCUUCCCCCGAAAUUGAAAUCUAAGCGCAUGAGAGGGUACCCCCAAAUUUCUCCUCUUUCCUUUGGUUCCCUUUUGUUCUUGCAUCCUCGGCCCCUUCCAUCUUGUGUUGUUGUAGCGGUGUUGUGAAGAGUGCGAGCAUUUGCGGUGGUUGAGCGUGGUUCGUGUAAUCGUGGAGGCUGCCUCCCUGUUAAGUUCACAAUUAUUCGCAGAGGGAAAGGAUUCGUUGUUGUUGUGUGUCUUCCAUUAUUGUGCUCUUUCCCAACCUUCAUUGGCGUAGGUCGUUCGCAACCUUCAUUGCCCUAAAUUAUGGUUGAGGGUUUAUGUGACGUGAUGGUAGUUGACACCAAUGUUAGGAGAUGUUGUCGUGAGGCAAGGGCUGCUGGUCAACGAUUGUCAUUGUCGUGGUGAACUAAGGUUGUCCGAGUCCAUCCUGCAUUUGUCGAGGGAGGUUAUGGAGAGUUCCUAUUAUGGAGGCCAUUGGUGAGGCACGUUGAAGGUGAACAGAGGCAUCAUUCUUUGCAACUUGAGUCAGUAAUUGCAGAAGAAGAGGUUUGAAAGAAGCUUUUGUCAUCGGAGUUGAAGAGUUUGUGUAGGCGGCUCCGCGAUAUGAAUAUUAUGCUCUUAAUGGAGGGAUUUGAUGCCCAUGCAUCAAGUGCGAAUGUACAAGAAUUUUGAAAGAUGAAGUCGUCAAAGUUCACAUACCAAAAAGGGUUCAUGCCUAAUUACACGCGGUAUAGACAUUUCAUGGUGAAGAAAUUCCUUCCACCUCCACUACAACUCAAAACCAGCUUGUAUCACGUUCAAAUAUUGUUGUACAUACAUAUGAGAUAGAUCAAUUUACCUAUAUGUAAGAGAUGGUCGACAAUGCUCUUUGUCGACAUGCUGAAGAAGAAGUAGACGAUAGUCAUGAUGAAGAGUUUCCAAAUGAAACCACUCAGAGGUUUUAAAAUUUAUUGGCAGAGACAAAUCAACCUGUAUUUGAAGGGUCAACUAAAUCAAAAUUGUUAGUGUACAUUAGACUAAUGACCUAUAAAUCUAAUUGGAACCUUCCCAAUCAAGCAUUGGACUUCAUAUCAAAAUUAGUAUUAGAUCUGACACCACUAAACACUUCUUUGCUGAAGAAUUAUUAUGAAGCAAAAGUAUAUGUUUCAAAGGUAGGAUUGAAAGCCAAGAAGAUUGAUUUGUUGUGUUAAUGGAUGUAUGUUAUUCUAUGACAACGAUAGUGUGAAAAAUGAUGCAUUGUUGGUUGAAUGUAAGUUUCGUGGGCAACCUCGAUAUCUUACAAUGCAUGCAACCUCGAUUCCAUUGAAGUUCAUGUUCUACUUGCCUAUAAUACCAAGAUUACAAAGAAUGUUUGCUUCGAUGAAAACAUCAUAACACAUGGCAUGGCAUGAUGGUAACAAAAGUGAAGGAGUGUUGCGUCUUCCUUCUGAGGGUGAAGCUUGGAAGCACUUCAAUCGUAAACAUCCAUCCUUUGCCAAUGAUGCAUGUAAUGUGCAACUUGGUCUAUGUUCUUAUGGGUUUACGCCGUACAUUCAAGCGUCUGCAUCACCAUAUUUACAUUGGCCAAUGAUUGUUACUCUAUACAAUCUACCACUUAAGAUGUGUAUGACAAAGCCUUACAUGUUUUACACGUGUAUAGUACCAGGUCCAUCGAAUCUCAAAUCAGCGAUUGAUAUUUAUUUGGAGCCCUUGAUUAAUGAUUUGAAGAAGCUAUGGAAUGGUGUUUGGACGUAUGAUGUUUUAAGGAAACAAUAUUUUCUUAUGAGGACAACUUUGAUGUGGAUUAUUAAUGACUUCCCUGCAUAUGACAUGUUUUCUGGUUGGAGCACGCAUGGUCGAUUAGCUUGUCCGCAUUGCAUGGAGCAUUCAAAGUCAUUCUUAUUGAGCUAUGGUCGAAAAACUAGUUGGUUUUACUGCCAUCGACGAUUCUUGCCCAUUGAUCACCCAUUUAGGAGAAACAAAAAGGCAUUUUGCAAAGGGCAAGUUGAAACGGAUAUCCCCCGCCAAGGCUCACUCCGGCUUAAGUUUGGAGAAGAGUCAACGACAUGCCAAAAGUCACUGAAUGUGGUCAGAAUGAAAUAGAAGGGUAUGGGGAGUGGCAUAACUGGACUAAAAGAAGCAUUUUUUGGAAUAUUUCCUAUUGGAAAAAUAACUUGCUAAGACAUAACCUCGAUGUCAUGUACAUAGAAAAAAUUUCUUUGACAACAACUUUAAUAUGGUAAUGAAUGUUAUUGGGAAGAUGAAAGAUAGUGACAAAGCAACAAAAUAUUUAACUUUGUAUUGUGGACAAAGAGACUUAGAGUUGAAAGCGGAAGGUAAUGAUUGAUUGUUGAAACCAAAAGCAAAUUACAUAUUGCAAAAGAUAAGGCUAUAAUAGUUUGUGGAUGGAUCAAGGAGCUUAGAAUGCCAGAUGGAUAUUCUUCUAACUUGUCCAGAUGUGCCAAUAUUAAAAAGGGUACUAUUCAAGGGUUGAAGAGUCAUGAUUGCCAUGUAUUCAUGGAGACUUCCACCGAUAGAAAUCAGUAACUUCUUCAAAUAUUUGUGUUGCACGACGCUAGAGGAAAAUUUGCUAAGAAAGAUGGAAGAAAAUAUUCCAAUUAUUCUGUGCAAAUUAGAAAGAAUAUUUCCUCCUGCAUUAUUUGAUUCAAUGGAGCAUUGUUAGAAGCCGAACUAUAUAAAUUAGUAAAAUCGGUAUGAGGGUGAGGAGAAGAAAAGCAGGAAGGAAGAGUUAGAAACUGAACGAUACUAACAGUGAAGUCAAACAGUUCUAAUAGUGAAGUGUGUUAUAAAACAAAUGGUAUUACUAUUAUCAACUAGGGAAACAUAAAUCAACUAAAAAAAAUGAAAACCCAAAGCACGAAAACGUAACUGAAACUAAAACACAGUGCAUAAUCAAAACGCAAAACCAGAAACGAAAUGAAAUUGCAUAUGCGAAAUUGAAAAGGGAAAAAUGAAAUUGAAAUUGGAGAAUCAAAGUGCAGCAGAGAAAGGAACAUCAAACAUAAUUGAAAUUACCAAUAGAAAUGAAAUUAGAAAACGAUUCAAUACAUAGAACCCCUAAAAGGGGGGGGGGGUUGGAAAAUGCCGAAGAGCCCUAAAACCUAAGAGAAAAACGUGAAUGAGGGAGAGGAGGAAAAGUGAAAUCUAAUUUCGGGUUUAUAGAUCCCAAAUUAUAAUUAUGCCCUUCUAAUGAGUUUCUACAAAAAUGGGCUCAAUGCUAAACUAAAAACAAAAAUAAAACAAAUGAUGAUGUGGAACUCUGAAAAUGACGUGGCAUCACUCUUGUUGUCCCAAAAUAUGUUUCCAAAAUUGUCCUGCAAGUAAUAAUUGGAAUAAUUAAGUCCAAAUAAUUCAAAUUAAUUAAAAUAAGAAUUAUUAGUCAAAUUAAUCCCAAAUAGUGAAAAUGAAACAAUAAUGGAGAAUUAAACACAAUUCACUAAUACAAUAUGGUGCAAAAAGCUAAAUGAAUAGUACAAAAUAAUGAUUCAUCAAGCAUAUUCCAAUUCAUUUUGCAUAUGAAGCUUGGCUUGGGGGACUAAUGCAAUACAAGUGGAUGUAUCCCUUUGAUAGGUUUAUGGGAGAAUCAAAACGUUCAGUUAAAAAUAAAACUAUAGUAGAAGGAUCAAUUUGUGCAUCAUACUUGUACCGAUACACUUAAAGUUUCCUAACUGGUUCAAAUAUCAAGUAUUUUUUUCCUAUGUUUUGAGCAAGGUUAAUUUUACUCUUGUUGUAAAAUUUGUUUUUGGCAACUUCCUAGGUUUUUAACUAGGCAUUAACUCCCACGAUUCAAGAGUUAAGAGAUCUCUCUAAUUGACCAAUGAGAUGUGUGAAAGAAUGACACACUUACUUCAUCAAUGGUUACAAAUUCCAUACACAUGAAUGGUCUAAAGGAAAGAAAACAACAAAUUGUGGUGUGUACGUCAAGGGCCUUAUAGAAGGUUCUUAUGAUGAUUUCUACGACAUCAUUCAUAAAAUAUAUGAGUUAGAGUACAACACUACUACUUCUCCAAAGAGAGUAGUACUUUUUUAUUGUGAAUGGUUUGAUCCUUUUAGAACUGGUACAAGAGUGGAUCCUAUGUUUAACAUUAUCGAACUGCAAAUGAGAUGAAGAUAUCGACCGUUUAAUCCUCUCAUUCUACCAACUAAUGUCAGACAGAUUUAUUAUGUCCCAUAUCCACCAUUCUGUAGUAGUGACAAACAUGGUUGGGCUAUUGCAAUACAAAAUGAAGCCUAGAAGUCACAUUGACUGAAAUGAGGUUGAAGAAGAUGUUGCCUACCAACUUAAGUAAAUGUCACAGGCACAAGAAAUUAUUGAAGUUGAACGUAUGACUGCAUUGUAGAGCCUGAUGGUGAUGAAGAUAAAUUACAAGCAUUAAUACAAGGACAAGAAAUGUUUAGAUUCAGUUAGUGAUGGUGUUGACCCUACUUCUAUACCUUUCUCAUCUUCUAUACCGCCUUCUGAGACUGCCACACCAACUAUUGAUGCAGAUUCAGUUAGUGAUGGUGUUGACCCGCCUCUCCAUGAUCAACUAUGGAUUGAACCUUUUGGUCGAGAGUUUGUUCCAUCCACGGUUGCUUCAUGGUCAAUUAAGCAACAAUAUAUGAGUUUGUGGCCUAGUUGGGGAGUAAUACUUGCACAAAAAAACAACCAUUCUGGCAGCGUUUUAAGAUGAAGGUGCAGUAGAAACCUGAACAUGAAUAUGAAAUACAAAGAAAUUUUCACACUAAAGCAUCGCAUCGGCUGUUAGAAAUGUUUAGAGAUGCCCGCAAUGUAGGGGAGCGCCCUUACUGGUUGGGCGAGCACAUAUGGAACUCUUUACUGACUCAUUGGAAUUCAGUAGAGUUUCACAAUAGUGUGCUACUGCCCAGAAGAACAAAACUUCUGAAAAGGGUGGGACCCUGCAUACCGGUGGAUCGAUCACGAUUCAUGAAUAUGUCAUUCGCAUGGAUGGGCGAUCCACGUUGAUGAGGUUUUUACAUAUACUCAUAUUCGGAAGUGAACUAGUCAAUUCGUUGAUGGAAGGUCUCGAAAGACUCAUUUUUGAUUAAGAAGAUUUUUCUACGAGACUUGCACAAGUUAGAUCUGAACAUGGCUCAACUCCUACACCGGAUAACGCGAAUAAUGAAGACGACGACAUCGUAAGGACACAAUGUUGGGUCGAUGUCGUUGGUGGGAAAAAAAGGGACGAGUGUACGGUGCAAGACAACUUGUUGCAAACUACGCAACAACAAGAGGAGGUACUCGAAAACACCAACCUUCUUCUUCCACCACCACUAUUGACAAGGCUGUUGUCCGCCUCACGCAGGCACUAGAGCAGUGUGACCAAGAAUACUCUUAUUUGAGGCACGAGUUUACAAAAUUUAAACAACUUAUCAUGAGAUUGAUGUCUAAAGCUUCACAACUUCAGUCCACCGUUCCUCCGACCCAGCUACGACUCUCCCCAUCACCUACCAUAUCAGAGCAGCCCACUCUAGUCUAGUCCAGAUUAGUGCAACCCACAGUAGUCCAAUCCACACCAGUCCAACCACCUGUAUAGUAGCAGGAUGAUGAAGACCAUUCUAAUGAUGACUAUGUAGAUUAUUAGUCUUCAUGUUAUUAUUGAACAUAGUUGUUAGAAUAUUAUGAUUAUGUUAUAUUACAUUUCCUCAUGCAUUUCAAA